rnacentral:rRNA from 1 species
UACGUAGGGUGCAAGCGUUGUCCGGAAUUAUUGGGCGUAAAGAGCUCGUAGGCGGUUUGUCGCGUCUGCCGUGAAAAUUCGAGGCUCAACCUCGAACUUGCAGUGGGUACGGGCAGACUAGAGUGCGGUAGGGGAGACUGGAAUUCCUGGUGUAGCGGUGAAAUGCGCAGAUAUCAGGAAGAACACCCGUGGCGAAGGCGGCUCUCUGGAACGCAACUGACGCUGAGACGCGAAAGCGUGGGGAGCAAACAGG